UACGUAGGGGGCAAGCGUUGUUCGGAAUUAUUGGGCGUAAAGAGCGUGUAGGCGGCCAGAAAAGUCCGCUGUGAAAACUCGAGGCUCAACUUCGAGCUGUCGGUGGAAACUUUCUGGCUAGAGUCCGGAAGAGGAGAAUGGAAUUCCUGGUGUAGCGGUGAAAUGCGCAGAUAUCAGGAAGAACACCCGUGGCGAAGGCGGUUCUCUGGGACGGUACUGACGCUGAGACGCGAAAGCGUGGGGAGCGAACAGG
rnacentral:rRNA from 1 species